UACGAAGGGUGCAAGCGUUACUCGGAAUUACUGGGCGUAAAGCGUGCGUAGGUGGUUCGUCAAGUCUGAUGUGAAAGCCCUGGGCUCAACCUGGGAAUGGCAUUGGAAACUGGCGACCUAGAGUGCGGUAGAGGGUAGUGGAAUUCCCGGUGUAGCAGUGAAAUGCGUAGAGAUCGGGAGGAACAUCUGUGGCGAAGGCGACUGCCUGGACCAGCACUGACACUGAGGCACGAAAGCGUGGGGAGCAAACAGG
rnacentral:rRNA from 1 species